rnacentral:piRNA from 2 species
UGAAGGAUUUUAGAAGGAUACUAUAGAAA